UAGGGUGACCAACUGCCCUGGUGUGCCUGGGACUGAGGCAGUCCCCUGGAUGCAGGACUUUGAGUGCUAAACCCAGGAAGUC
rnacentral:miRNA from 1 species